rnacentral:rRNA from 1 species
UACGAGAGGCCCAAACGUUAUUCGGAAUUACUGGGCUUAAAGAGUUCGUAGGCGGCAUUGCAAGUAGGGUGUGAAAGCCCUCGGCUCAACCGAGGAAUUGCGCUCUAAACUGCAGUGCUUGAGGACCUAGAGGUGAGCAGAACAGAUGGUGGAGCGGUGAAAAUGCGUUGAUAUCAUCUGGAAUACCGGAGGCGAAGGCGGCUCACUGGGAGUUUUCUGACGCUGAGGAACGGAAAGCCAGGGUAGCGAACGGG